UACAUAUCUGUGCGCUUUCAUCUUCUUAAUUGGAUGAAAUUGUGUUUUUAUGUUAAUGUUUCCUAUAGUAGGACAAAUUUCCUCAUUACUACUGCGUUCUUGCAGCCUCCUACCCACCUCCUCCAUCACACAUCAUCCAUUUAAGCACUUAUGAAGAGAGAGAUGGAUCAGUUACGGCUCUUGUUCUUAAGAAACAAAUUGUAUGAGAGAAAACACAAAAAUAAAUGUGAAACAGAGAACAGUUGCAAACAAAAUAAAAUCCAUAUUUGGCUGUGGGAAGAAGGUCCCUUCUCAAGAUAGGAAUGCUGAUGAAAGUCCAGGACACUAGCUCAGGGACCACAGCCUCCAAGGUGGCUUCCGGAGUGCUUGAGCUGCCUUCUCCUUCACUCUUAUAUCAUCCUUCCUACUGCUUGUACAUCCUCAAAGAAUGUUUUCCCAGCCUGGAUCCAUCACAUAGCCCAUCUACAAAGCUGAUCUAUAUUGCCAAGUAUGUGGUUUUAUGGCUUUGA
rnacentral:lncRNA from 1 species